AAAAUGGAACUCAGCUGUUCAUUGUCGGGUUGUCAACCUGAUACAGAGUGGAGCUAAUGUAGCUCUGCAGUGCCUCGCAGGAAUGGUCUGCCUACGGUGGAGCGUAUCAGUUCUACCACCAUUCAGUGGAGCUUAACUGCUCUGCAUCACCUUGCAGAAUGGUCUGCCUAUGAUGGAGCGCUUCAGUUCUAUCAUACCAUGGCUGUACCUGGUACACUCGUGUGCCUACGUGCAGUCUACCUUGACAGGGUGUCUUCUCGUCUGAUGCUCGCGGGGUGCUCGCAAUCUUGUGUUGCCAGUCCACUUUGUGAGUGACGAGUUGUGCUGCUUUUCAUGGCAGUGCUAGGCUCAAAGAGUGGUUUUAAGCUACGGCUGGAUCACCGCCCUGUGUGUUUAUUCAAAACCCUGUUUUACACUGUUCAAGUGGUUCAAAUUGACUUUGGUUGGUUUGAGCCAUUGCCCACAACAUGAGUCUGGCGUGAGCUGGUAUCAUGUUCAGUCGCCUGGCGGUGCCUUAUCCCGGGUAGGACUGAGAAACCUUCGUUCAUAUGGGAAACCAUUUGUUCGAGGUUAGUACAACUCUGAGCGGUGGAUCACUCGGCUCGUGUGUCGAUGAAGAGCGCAGCCAACUGUGUGAAUUAAUGCGAACUGCAUACUGCUUUGAGCAUCGACAUCUUGAACGCACAUUGCGGCCAUGGGUUAGCCCAUGGCCACGCCUGUCCGAGGGUCGGCUUAUAAAUUAUCACGACGCCCAACAAGUCGUGGCUUGGGUUUUGCCAGCUGACGUGAUUUCCCCUUUGGUACAUUUUGGGGUGUCAGAUCUAUGGCGUUUCCCUAAUGUUUCCGGUUGCAACCACAUGUCGGCUUUGUGUCGGUAUGGGGAUGUGGCUGCGGAGUCGUGGCUCAAUGGUUUAUGAUUUAUGCGCGCUCCGUCAGUUCAUUAUGCCCAGUGUUGUUAUCCGUAUCUUGCACUUCGGUGCAUUAUUCCUGACCUCGGAUCAGACGUGAAUACCCGCUGAACUUAAGCAUAUCACUAAGCGGAGGAAAAGAAACUAACAAGGAUUCCCUUAGUAACGGCGAGUGAACAGGGAAAAGCCCAGCACCGAAGCCUGUGGCCAUUUGGUUACUAGGCAAUGUGGUGUUUAGGUCAUUCCGCAGAGGUUCUGCUCCACCCUAAGUCCAUCAAUGAGUAUGGUAGUAUGGACAUGGCCCGCAGAGGGUGAAAGGCCCGUGGGGGUGGAGACUCGUUUGGACAGAGCCUCUCUGGUGAGACCUUGGAGUCGGGUUGUUUGUGAAUGCAGCCCAAAGUGGGUGGUAAACUCCAUCCAAGGCUAAAUACUAGCACGAGUCCGAUAGCGAACAAGUACCGUGAGGGAAAGUUGAAAAGUACUUUGAAGAGAGAGUAAACAGUGCGUGAAACCGCUCAGAGGUAAACGGGUGGAGUUGAACUGCAAGCUUUGAGAAUUCAGCUGAUGAGUGUGGUUUGGGCUUGGUCAAAUUGGUGAGCACCGGAGUCUGCGUAGUAGCAGGUCUUUGCCUUCGGGUGAGGAUGCGCGAUGCACUUAUCAAGUGUUGUGCGCUUCGGUUGUUCUUCGGCCUGCUCGUCAGUGCACUUUCUCUUAGUGGUCACCACGACCGGCACCGCUGUCUGGCUUCUUCGGUUAAACCGGUUUUGCUUAGUCUGCAAGGCUUUGCUUGAUCGGGAGGGCAGGUAGCUCGUUGACUUGCCUGUGGCUUGCUGCAGGCGUUUGGUUUUCGAGUGUUAUUAGCUGACCGGAGUAGUUCUGUGCAGUGUGUCGGAGACGGCGGCUUGUUGUGCGUGCAUGCGUGCCUGUUCUGCUGACUUGUCCGGGUUUGGUUAUUAUGUUGCCUGUUCAAGCAGGCCUGGUGAUGGCUCGGAUUCGUUCGGUGGGCGGUUGCGUGUGUUGCACAUUUCAGGGCCAAUAGUCUGUGGUGUAGUGGUAGACUUUCCACCCGACCCGUCUUGAAACACGGACCAAGGAGAGUAACAUGUGCGCGAGUCAUUGGGCGUUACGAAACCCACAGGCGCAGUGAAAGUAAAGGUCUGACUUGUUCAGGCUGAGGUGAGAUCCUGUCGUUUCCCACGCGUGGUACUACCAAGCAUCGAGCGGCAGGCGCAUCACCGGCCCGUCCCAUGGCAGUUGUCUUCGGACAGUUUUCGGUCGGGGCGGAGCAUGAGCGUACAUGUUGAGACCCGAAAGAUGGUGAACUAUGCUUGCGCAGGUUGAAGCCAGAGGAAACUCUGGUGGAGGACCGCAGCGAUUCUGACGUGCAAAUCGAUCGUCAAACGUGAGUAUAGGGGCGA
rnacentral:rRNA from 1 species